GAUUCUGUAGCUCAGUUGGUUAGAGCACUGCACCACAAUCGCAGGGCCGCAGGUUCGAUUCCUUCCAGAUUCA
rnacentral:tRNA from 1 species